CGGGGGGCAGCAGUGGGGAAUAUUGGACAAUGGGCGAAAGCCUGAUCCAGCAAUGCCGCGUGGAUGAAGAAGGUCUUCGGAUUGUAAAGUCCUUUCGACGGGGACGAUGAUGACGGUACCCGUAGAAGAAGCCCCGGCUAACUUCGUGCCAGCAGCCGCGGUAAUACGAAGGGGGCUAGCGUUGCUCGGAAUGACUGGGCGUAAAGGGCGCGUAGGCGGUUCGAUUUGUUAGGUGUGAAAUUCCUGGGCUCAACCUGGGGGCUGCACUUAAAACGGUCGGGCUUGAGUUCGGAAGAGGGUUGUGGAAUUUCCAGUGUAGAGGUGAAAUUCGUAGAUAUUGGAAAGAACACCGGUGGCGAAGGCGGCAACCUGGUCCGAUACUGACGCUGAGGCGCGAAAGCGUGGGGAGCAAACAGGAUUAGAUACCCCGGU
rnacentral:rRNA from 1 species